GCAAAACUAAAUAUUUGAUAUCUGGUUCGAUUUUCGUAAGGAACAAACGAAGGUCUCCUCUUUCGGUGAUAUUACAACGAUUUCUCUGUUUGCUCAUAAUAUGAUUUCUCAUCUGUGCAUCAGCUUCCCUCCUCUCCCUCCUCAAUUCCCCUCCCCACCUUUUUUUCCCCUUUUUUCUUUUUUUUCACCUUCCUUAUAGCAAUGCCCAGCAGGAAGGCUGAGCUAGGUAGCCCACUUAUUAUUAUUAGCCAAGAACAAUUCUCUCCUUUUCCUUUUUAUAUUUUUAUUUUCCUUCUUUCUCCUUUUUUACAAGUACUCUGCUCCUUCU